AUUGAACGCUGGCGGUAGGCUUAACACAUGCAAGUCGAGCGGUAACAGUCCUUCGGGAGCUGACGAGCGGCGGACGGGUGAGUAACGCGUAGAAAACUGCCCGGUAGUGGAGGAUAGCCCAGAGAAAUUUGGAUUAAUACUGCAUACGCUCUACGGAGGAAAGCGGGCUUCGGCUCGCGCUAUCGGAUGUGUCUGCGUGAGAUUAGCUAGUUGGUGAGGUAAUGGCUCACCAAGGCGACGAUCUCUAGCUGGUCUGAGAGGAUGAUCAGCCACACUGGGACUGAGACACGGCCCAGACUCCUACGGGAGGCAGCAGUGGGGAAUAUUGCACAAUGGGGGAAACCCUGAUGCAGCCAUACCGCGUGUGUGAAGAAGGCCCUGGUUGUAAGCACUUCAUAGGGAGGAAAGGUAGUAGUUAAUACU
rnacentral:rRNA from 1 species